CUGUGAGUUGCACCUUGAUAAUAUCGCUUUCUGACGAAGGCAGCCGUUCGACGAUGAACAAUGACACAGAAUUCCGCCUUUCCCUUCCGCUCGCAGCGCUUGAACUUCGGGAAGCUGGACGUGAACUCGCUGAAGCGGUAUCAGCGCGUUCAUAAGCUGGUGAGCCCGGAGCGUGGCUCUCAGUGGGCGCCCACGCGCAGAAGCGCGGGUCUUGAGGGGCACACCUGGCAGCCCUAGCGGUCGCGCUGUGCUGGUGGUGUCGCCGGCUACCGAGGGCUACCGGAGUCGCCGAUGGCCGGCCGGGAUUGCAAACCAAGCCGCGUAGCCGUGGUGCCGCGGCGCAGCGCGCUCUGCCUGGACGCGCGCUUGGCCACCGGCGCACCCGGAAGAGAGCACUGCGCUGAGGCUGAGGCGCGCUUGCGUCAACACAGCGGCCUUCACCAGCCACAUCAGUUCAAGGGGUCGCGUGCUCGCGCCACAUCCUGUAGCGGUGGCGUUGAGCUGGCAGUGUUCCCGUGCACUUGGAUCGCGGCUACAGCCACCUCCUGCAGCAGCUCCGGCCAGACUCCCACGUGCGCGGUGGCUGUAUCUUUAUCCCACCGAUACCGCUUCUCACACUGCGUACUUGUUACUUGUCACGGGACCUCGUCCCGCACCCACCGGCACAGGCUGCACGCAGCGCGACCGUCACUCAUGUGACGCAACCGCCGCUCCUGUUUUCCAUGUCCGCGCUUCUGACCCAGACCCGCUGCUGCCUGCGUGCUCCCAGCAGGUGGGCGUGCCGCAGACGGCGAGCAAGGAGCAGCUCGUGUCCGCGGUGACGAGGCACUUCUCCGCCCAGGUGGUUUUGGAGCCUGGCAUGCCCUUCUGCGCUUGCUGUUGCCAUGUCCGGGGCACGCGUUUGUGGGAGGCAGCAGCCAGGGCGUGGCGUGCGCAGCUGCCGGGUGCAACUAGGACUCAGGCAGAGGUGGUGCGGACGCGGCGGGAAGCCGGCGAGUGUCUGCAGCGUAUGUGGCUAUCCGGCAUUCACCUGGUUCCAGCUGCCACCACUUACACGCUGCGGAGCUGUUGCAUCUGGCAGAGCCAGGGUUUCAGGUCCGGACACCUUCGGCCGGUCAUGGCUUAUGAGUCCAUGCUUCUUCUGUGGCACUCGCAGGUGGUGAGCGAUGAGCUCAAGGUGAUAGCGGCGUUCGUGACAGCCGUACAAAAGCGUCAAACGCUGAGCAAGAAGUGAAAUGAGA
rnacentral:lncRNA from 1 species